rnacentral:rRNA from 1 species
CAGCAGCCGCGGUAAUACGGAGGAUCCAAGCGUUAUCCGGAAUCAUUGGGUUUAAAGGGUCCGUAGGCGGUCUUGUAAGUCAGUGGUGAAAGCCCAUCGCUCAACGGUGGAACGGCCAUUGAUACUGCAGGACUUGAAUUAUUGGGAAGUAACUAGAAUAUGUAGUGUAGCGGUGAAAUGCUUAGAGAUUACAUGGAAUACCAAUUGCGAAGGCAGGUUACUACCAAUUGAUUGACGCUGAUGGACGAAAGCGUGGGUAGCGAACAGGAUUAGAGACCCCAGUAGUCCCUGUCUCUUAUAC